ACCUAGGAAACCAAAGGAAAGAAAGAGAGAAAAUGACUAUCCAACUUGUAUUUCCAGUCAGCAGGCAAAACCAGGAGAUGAAGAAAGGGACAGAGGAGUUCUGAAUAGAGCCAACCCGAUUGUUGGUGGUGGGGAAAGACAGUAUUUGAACCUCAGUUUCAUUUGGGACAGCAAUGUGACCCUCUGUAAGACUGCAUAACCCAACCUCCUGUGCCUGCCUGGUGUGGCCACGGCAGUUCUGCCAGAGAUGAAACGGAUGAUUGUGUGGCACCCUUGGGAUGGAUGACUGCAACUGCCCAAACUGCUCUUGGACCAACAGGUAACCUCGGGGAUGGAAACCCUAGUCAAGUUGAAAGGUGGAAGGAGCUUGGGUCCCCAGUGACCAUGCAGCUGCCAUGCUGGCCCCUGAAUAUUCUUCAGACUUCUUUUUACGUAACA